rnacentral:rRNA from 1 species
UACGUAGGGGGCAAGCGUUGUCCGGAUUUAUUGGGCGUAAAGAGCGUGUAGGCGGCCAGGUAGGUCCGUUGUGAAAACUCGAGGCUCAACCUCGAGACGUCGGCGGAAACCCUCUGGCUAGAGUCCGGAAGAGGAGAGUGGAAUUUCUGGUGUAGCGGUGAAAUGCGCAGAUAUCAGGAAGAACACCCGUGGCGAAGGCGGCUCUCUGGGACGGUACUGACGCUGAGACGCGAAAGCGUGGGGAGCAAACAGG